rnacentral:rRNA from 1 species
CGGAGGGUGCAAGCGUUAUCCGGAUUCACUGGGUUUAAAGGGUGUGUAGGCGGGCUGUUAAGUCAGUGGUGAAAUCUCCGGGCUCAACCCGGAAACUGCCAUUGAUACUAUCAGUCUUGAAUAUCGAUGAGGUGGGCAGAAUAUGUCAUGUAGCGGUGAAAUGCAUAGAUAUGACAUAGAAUACCGAUUGCGAAGGCAGCUCACUAACCGAUCAUUGACGCUGAGGCACGAAAGCGUGGGGAUCAAACAGGAUUAGAUACCCUGGUAGUCCACGCCCUAAACGAUGAUUACUCGACAUACGCGAUACACAGUGUGUGUCUGAGCGAAAGCAUUAAGUAAUCCACCUGGGAAGUACGUCCGCAAGGAUG